rnacentral:tRNA from 1 species
CCCUGGGUGGCCUAGCAGUUUAAGGGUUUGGCAUUGUCACUGCUGUGGCUUGGGUUCAAUUCCUGGCCUGGGAA